GAUGAACGCUGGCGGCGUGCCUAAUACAUGCAAGUCGAGCGAACGGACGAGAAGCUUGCUUCUCUGAUGUUAGCGGCGGACGGGUGAGUAACACGUGGAUAACCUACCUAUAAGACUGGGAUAACUUCGGGAAACCGGAGCUAAUACCGGAUGAUAUUUUGAACCGCAUGGUUCAAAAGUGAAAGACGGUCUUGCUGUCACUUAUAGAUGGAUCCGCGCUGCAUUAGCUAGUUGGCAAGGUAACGGCUUACCAAGGCAACGAUGCAUAGCCGACCUGAGAGGGUGAUCGGCCACACUGGAACUGAGACACGGUCCAGACUCCUACGGGAGGCAGCAGUAGGGAAUCUUCCGCAAUGGGCGAAAGCCUGACGGAGCAACGCCGCGUGAGUGAUGAAGGUCUUCGGAUCGUAAAACUCUGUUAUUAGGGAAGAACAUAUGUGUAAGUAACUGUGCACAUCUUGACGGUACCUAAUCAGGAAGCCACGGCUAACUACGUG
rnacentral:rRNA from 1 species